UACGGAGGGGACUAGCGUUGUUCGGAAUUACUGGGCGUAAAGCGCACGUAGGCGGAUUUGUAAGUCAGGGGUGAAAUCCCGGGGCUCAACCUCGGAACUGCCUUUGAUACUGCAAAUCUCGAGUCCGGAAGAGGUGAGUGGAAUUCCUAGUGUAGAGGUGAAAUUCGUAGAUAUUAGGAAGAACACCAGUGGCGAAGGCGGCUCACUGGUCCGGUACUGACGCUGAGGUGCGAAAGCUAGGGUAGCAAACGGG
rnacentral:rRNA from 1 species